CCCACACCCUGUGGGGAGUAGCCUCCUCCUGCGCAAUGCGGGAGGGCCCGUGUCAACAUACUCGCUUCACUCAGUUUCUGAUGCUGAAGCGUGGCGCGGGCGACCUAGCGGUUGGCGAGACCAUCGGCCCAUCCGCGCCAUUGUCGGGCGUGCGGGUGCGCCUUUGUGUUUUUGUCCGACCGGAACCCCA
rnacentral:sRNA from 2 species